AUUGAACGCUGGCGGCAGGCCUAACACAUGCAAGUCGAGCGGACGAAGGGAGCUUGCUCUUGGAUUCAGCGGCGGACGGGCGAGUAAUGCCCAGGAAUCUGCCUGGUAGUGGGGGAUAACGUCCGGAAACGGGCGCUAAUAUCGCACACGUCCAGAGGGAGAACGUGGGGGAUCUUCGGACCUAACGCUAUUUGCUGAGCCUAGGUCGGAUUAGCUAGUUGGUGGGGUAAAGGCCUACCAAGGCGACGAUCCGUAACUGGUCUGAGAGGAUGAUCAGUCACACUGGAACUGAGACACGGUCCAGACUCCUACGGGAGGCAGCAGUGGGGAAUAUUGGACAAUGGGCGAAAGCCUGAUCCAGCCAUGCCGCGUGUGUGAAGAAGGUCUUCGGAUUGUAAAGCACUUUAAGUUGGGAGGAAGGGCAGUAAGUUAAUACCUUGCUGUUUUGACGUUACCAACAGAAUAAGCACCGGCUAACUUCGUG
rnacentral:rRNA from 1 species